AUACACUGAAAAAGGAAGGGAGAACUGGAUAUUGGGCAGUGUGAAUAUCAAUUACGUAUGGCAAGGAGGAGAUUGAAUGCAGACACUAAUAUUCAGAGACAGAGUCCUGCUGUGUCAUUCAGGCUGGAGUGCAUGGCACCAUCUCGGCUCACUGGAACCUCCACCUCCUGGGCUUAAGUGAUUCUCCUGCCUCAGCCUCCCAAGUAGCUGAGACUACAAGCACGCACUACCAUGCCCAGCUAAUUUUUUUUUUUUUUUUGAGGCGGAGUGUCGCUCUCUCGCCCAGGCUGGAUGGAGUGCAGUGGCACAAUCUCAGCUCACUGCAAGCUCUGCCUCCCGGGUUCAUGCCAUUCUUCUGCCUCAGCCUCCCGAGUAGCUGGGACUACAGGCACCCGUCACCACGCCCGGUUAAUUUUUUGUGUUUUUAGUAGAGAUGGGGUUUCACCGUUUUAACCAGGAUGGUCUCGAUCUCCUGACCUCAUGAUCCGCCCACCUCGGCCUCCCAAAGUGCUGGGAUUACAGGUGUGAGCCACUGCACCCGGCCUAAUUUUUGUAUUUUUAGUAGAGAUGGGGUUUCACCGUGCUGGCCAGGCUGGUCUCAAACUCCUGACCUGAAAUGAUCUACCCGCCUUGGCCUCCCAAAGGGCUGGGAUUACAGGCAUGAGCCAUUGAACCUGGCCUAUGUCUUUACAUCCUUUUAAAGUAAUUGUUUGGAAUUGGAUUGUGGAGUUGUGUCAUCAACAUUAAAGCUAAUUUUCUGUUUGGGAGCACUUGGGCUAUUUUCAUCCCUUGGUUCCCACAAAUAAUAUUAUUUAUUUAUUUUAUUUACUUAUUUUUAUUUUAUUUUUUGAGACAAGGUCUGGUUUUAUUGCCCAGGCUGAAGUGCAGUGUUGUGAUCUCAGUUCACUGCAACCUCUGCCUCCCAGGCUCAAACGAUCCUCCCACCUCAGCCUCCUGAGUAGCUGGUACUACAGGCACACCACCAUACCUGGCUAAUGUUUUAAAAAAUUUUUGUAGCAGUGUGGUUUUGCCAUUCUGCCCAGGCUGGUCUUGAACUUGUGAACUCAAACAAUCUGUCCACCUCAGCCUCCCAGUGUGCUGGGAUUACAGGUGUGAGCCACCUCACCCGCCU
rnacentral:lncRNA from 1 species